GAUGAACGCUGGCGGCGUGCCUAAUACAUGCAAGUCGAGCGAACGGACGAGAAGCUUGCUUCUCUGAUGUUAGCGGCGGACGGGUGGGUAACACGUGGAUAACCUACCUAUAAGACUGAGAUAACUUCGGGAAACCGGAGCUAAUACCGGAUAAUAUUUUGAACCGCAUGGUUCAAAAGUGAAAGACGGUCUUGCUGUCACUUAUAGAUGGAUCCGCGCUGCAUUAGCUAGUUGGUAAGGUAACGGCUUACCAAGGCAACGAUGCAUAGCCGACCUGAGAGGGUGAUCGGCCACACUGGAACUGAGACACGGUCCAGACUCCUACGGGAGGCAGCAGUAGGGAAUCUUCCGCAAUGGGCGAAAGCCUGACGGAGCAACGCCGCGUGAGUGAUGAAGGUCUUCGGAUCGUAAAACUCUGUUAUUAGGGAAGAACAUAUGUGUAAGUAACUGUGCACAUCUUGACGGUACCUAAUCAGAAAGCCACGGCUAACUACGUG
rnacentral:rRNA from 1 species